UACGUAGGGGGCAAGCGUUGUCCGGAUUUAUUGGGCGUAAAGAGCGUGUAGGCGGCCAAGUAAGUCUGCUGUGAAAACUCGAGGCUUAACCUCGAGCUGUCGGCGGAAACUAUUUGGCUAGAGUCCGGAAGAGGAGAAUGGAAUUCCCGGUGUAGCGGUGAAAUGCGCAGAUAUCGGGAAGAACACCCGUGGCGAAGGCGGUUCUCUGGGACGGUACUGACGCUGAGACGCGAAAGCAUGGGGAGCGAACGGG
rnacentral:rRNA from 1 species